ACAUGGCAUCAUGGACGUCCUGUAAUUUGUUACAAAACAGACGCUGAACAUUGGACCCUCAAACACACACACACACACACACACACACACACACACACACACACACACACACUCAGAUGAGUUACAAAAGCGGUGAACUUUGGAAGAAAGUGAAGCCUCUGCGUCCUCUGUUUGCGUACAUGUCACUUUCUAGGAAAAGCCUGAGAUAUUUAUAGCUGGCGAGAGACUCUACACAACCUCUCGUUUGUCUUUAAGCGUGUUCAGGAGCAGAUAGGAAUCUUCACGGCGUGUAAUGUUCUUCAUCGUCCUGGAUCCUGACGGCAGAGGGAACAGAUCCUCGGAUCACCUCGGAUCACCUCAGGAAGCAGCUAUUUCCGCCACUUGUGUAUAAAAUAAACACGGGGAGAAUGUUUACGGGGAACUGCUUUGUCACGCUCUCCUGCAAAAAUGUAGAAAAAAAUCGAAGUAUCAGGCCCGUUGUGAGAAAAACUGUAAUCAAGCUUUAACGCUAAUAAUGGCUGAGAUUUCCCGAGGCUUAUAAUAAAACCUCUGUAAAAGUCGAGACAAGUUCUGUUCUUCUCCCCCGAAAACAGCAGGACACCGGGACGGAUACGAAAUGUCAGGAUGUGAUCUCGGAGUUUCCCCAAUGCCUUUUCCAUCGCACCGCUCCAGAACUUGUGGGAGACCCGUGGUGAAGGUUCUGGUCUACUGCUCUGAAGGUCGUGAUGAGAAAAACUUCCGCUGUUGGACCCUUAAUCAAGACCUUUAACAUCCUCCGCUCCUCCGCUCUCGUCCAGCAGGAAUGAACUUCACGGUAUGAUGGCUGACUUUCUGUCUUCUCGUCUUCUGAACACGGUGAAGACCGUUGGCGCCACUUCAGUGGAAUGUUUCAGCAGAUGGGAGGAUUUGUUCUUUUAUUACUUUCCCUUCACCGAGUUCUCGUUUAACAGAACUCGUCUUUCAAUCCCCAGAGUUUUUUGGGGCGCAGCCCGAGAGCUCCAGUGUUGAAAUUGUUAUUACGUUUAAUGUGUCUCGAUUCACACGGUUUACAGCAAACUACAAAAAUGUCGAUAAGGAAAACAAGCGACUUAUAAAAUUAGCCGCUAAGUGUUUUACGCUCUCCGCUUGUGCUCCUAGACAUGCUUAACCCUAGCAGCUAAUAACCCAAAAUGGCCGAUUUAAAUCACAGCGACACGGAGCGCGCGAUAAACAUAGCAUAAAGCUAAAUCAUCCGCCCGAGGAGAGCGAGUCUGCGUCCUAUAGGCUGCGUUUAAAGGCAUGAAGACAAACUUUUGUGAGUAAAUUUACAUAAAAGUCCGGUUGAUAGGCUGCAGAUCCGGCAGACCGAGUGCGCGCACGCUGUGCAGGUUAAACGAGUGAAAAAUGGGCCAUUAAGUCCAAAAACAAAGGCGCAAACUGCAGCAGGAUGUAAAAACUCCAUCACAAGAGCUGUUUAUAAGCUCUAUAAACUUUAUAAAACAUCACCCAUCGCUACUACGGCAGAGUCCAAGGCUUUAACCGGCCUCUGUUUAUCAAAUCAGCGCUACGCUGCAAGAAAUAAAUCUGUAAAAUAGCAGAAAAUAUAUAUACGGUCGGAAAAGAGGUGGAAAGAGCGAGAGAAGGAGGUACUCCGAGGAGGGGAAAAAGACUUGGACAGACAUAGAGAAGGAGACAAUAGGAGAGAUAGAGACAAGGAAGACAGAGAGAACCGAGUGAUGAUGAGAACCAACGCAACCACGAGAGACGAAACAACAAGACGCGAGCUCCGACUUCAGCAAAUAAUUUCAUUGCUUUCGGAUCGAGUUAGCUGGCAUGUUUUAGAAUAAAUGAAACUUUUUUGAGAACAAAGUGGGCAAGUCAGUCUGAGAAACUAAAGUCAGUAGACAAAAUGGAGGAAGAUGCUAGCUAGCUAGCAAGCUAACCGGCAACAGCGCGACUGAAAUGGAGUCUCAGAUCUAAACCAGGACGAAACUAUAAAAAAGCACAGCAAAAAGAGAAGGGGAGCAAAAACAAAGAUGAGAAAAGGAAAGAAACAAAAACUAUACAGGGGUAUCGAGAUUUUUAUUUCAAGAAGAGCUGAACUUGUGGUGGCUGAGUGGUUAAAAGCUCUGGGUUACUGCGCAGAUCAGAAGGUCAGGAGUUUGAGCCCCAGCACUGCCAAGCUACCACUGUUGGGCCCUUGGGCAAGGCCCUUAACCCUCUCUGCUCAGCUGUAUAAAUGAGUUGGAAAAAUAGACCCAAAACAACAACAACCACCACCAGAUGGAUGGAGUCUAGAUAGUCUGGUGAUCCACUACCCAGAGGACAGGAGCAGUGAAGCAGGGAGGAAAAAACAACUAAACAAGCUGCUGAGAGAUCACCCGAGACCCCCCGAGACCCCCCGAGACACCCGAGACUCCCCGAGACCCCCCGAGACCCCCCGAGACUCCCCGAGACACCCCGAGCAGACUUUAAAAGGCACGGUGAAAGAGCAGUAACGACAGACGUUUACGCUCGAAAACCUCGAAAAUCUACAUCACUUCAUACUGUGAAAGAGGGAGAAUACUUUUUGUGACUGUGACAAUAUUACUAUCAUCAUACUAGCUUUAUAAUAAUCAGCUAAGAAAAACAUGUUGUUUAGCUAUAAAACAGCUAUUUAUGCGAUCACUUUCGGUUAUGCUGUAGCUAGCUAACAAUGUUUUAUUAAAAUACAUAAUGCAUAGUCAAACCUAGCUAAGUUAUUAUUGCUAAGUGGCUGAUUAGCAAGUUUACAUGUCUUACGUAGAAUCAGUUUUCACUGCCCAGAGCCUUAUGUUGUUGCGUUAUCAAUAUGCUAGCUGCGUUCUCUAUAUCACAGCUCUUGCGUGGGUCAGUGUAUGCUAAUCUCACAAACUAGUAGCUAAUUACUAGCUACUACUACUACUACUACUACUACUACUACUAGCCACUAAGCUAGUAGACAUCAUUUUGUAUUUGAAUGUAAGUCAUCUUUGAUUAAAAACAACACAAAAGGAAUUGCUUUUAUUUUUUAAAAAUCAUUUAUUGAGGAAAAAAAUCAUACAUGAAUCCAAAACUGGAGACUCGCUCACGAUUACAUUGUUUUACUUUUUAAAAAAUCUUAAAUGAACUUCUACGUAAAGAAAAAGCACAGACAUGCUAACUUUUAGCUCCAGAAAUGAACUUCUUGAAUCUUUUAUCACAUGAUUAACCUGCUAGCUAUUUAUGUUCACGAGCUAGCCAGUUAGCUUUAUUUCAUACCUCAUGGAGAUGUUGGCGAGCAAGUUUCUCAGCAUGUUUCACUAAUUGACUCUAAUUGUAGCCCUUUGUUGUAAUGAUAGCUAGCUAGCUAGCUCAUGUAUUAGCACGAUAGCUGAUUUUAAUGAUUAUUUGUAACGAUCAAAAAUAAAAUUUCAGUCAGGUGUGUGAGCGACGAGGGCUAACAGCGCAACAUAUUAGCCAAGAGAGAAUUAACAACAUACGAUCUGUUUUUAUUUUCUUUUUUGCUACAAAAUUUUUAUAUAAAGCAAUGUUUCAUAAAGUUUACAACAAAAUAACAAAAAUAUAUUAAAAAAAAAAAAAACAACAGUAAAAGCAGCAGAUUCAGACUCAAAGUGACCACAGUACAAAACAAAUAAUAAAGUAAAAAUACUGUAAAAUUUUGUAAAAUGUCAAAUAAAAUACUGAAUAUUGUGUAAAAAAACAAAAAAAAAAACAAAA